CGGAGUAACGCGUAUCUAACCUGCCCUUGAGUGAGGCACAACUAUGGAGACAUAGCUAAUUCCUCAUACGCUCUAGAGAAUGAAAAUAUCUAGAGGAAAGAUUUAUCGCUCAAGGAGGGGGGUGCGUCCUAUCAGGUAGUUGGUGAGGUAACGGCUCACCAAGCCUAUGACGGGUAGCCGGUCUGAGAGCAUGUCCGGCCGCAAUGGAACUGAGAACGGUCCAU
rnacentral:rRNA from 1 species